CCUACCAAAAGAGGGCUCACAAAUCCGUCCUAUCAUAAAGCGACUUUAUUCUCAUCCACCCCUUCCCUUAAAUCGGCACUCAUCUCCUCCUUCGUUGGACUGGCGCUCAUCUCCAACUCCAUCGGCCCGCUAUAGAGCUGUCCUACUAUAAAGCAACUUCCUCUCCUCCGUUGGAUCGACGCUCAUCUCCAAAUGGGCAAACGGAGGUUUCAUUUUGAUGUGUGCAUGUACG
rnacentral:lncRNA from 1 species